rnacentral:rRNA from 1 species
AACGAACGCUGGCGGCGCGCCUAAUACAUGCAAGUCGAGCGAGAAGACGUAGCAAUACGUUUGUAAAGCGGCGAACGGGUGAGGAAUACAUGGGUAACCUACCCUAGAGUGGGGAAUAACUAGCCGAAAGGUUAGCUAAUACCGCGUACGCUCCUUGGACUUCGGUACAGGGAGGAAAGCGAUACCGUGGGUAUCGCGCUCUUGGAUGGGCUCAUGUCCUAUCAGCUUGUUGGUGAGGAACGGCUCACCAAGGCUUCGACGGGUAGCUGGUCUGAGAGGACGAUCAGCCACACUGGCACUGCGACACGGGCCAGACUCCUACGGGAGCAGCAGUAAGGAAUAUUGCGCAAUGGGCGAAAGCCUGACGCAGCGACGCCGCGU